UGGGAGAAGCAGUGGGGCACAUUGAGAGCAUGUCAUUACAAAGACGUUUUGACGCUUCCAGUUCAAAGUGGAGAUGGGGAAUUUCUGCAGCAUCCAUGUCAGCUUGAAAUCACAGGGGUCUGUUCGGGCAUGCAGCUGGCAGUGGGAGAGUUCGCGCACAACAUUGUUAGAUUGGGAAGAUGCCAAAUCCACUGAACUUAACCCAGAAACCAAACACCCUGUGGUAUGCUGUCUUCUUUUUCACACUGUGCUCAUAUUACAUUAUGUCAGCAGGGAAGGCUUGGCGUUCUAUUUGAUCUUGACAGGUGAAUGACAUGCCAGAGCACAGCCUGGGAUAAAUGGGAGGGAGUGUGAGAUUUGGAAAGAGGGCAACCAUUUCAAAUCCAACUGUGUAGCUAAGUUUAGUUUAUUUAAGGAUCCCCAUUAGUUGCUACCACAGCAGAGUUAUUCAUGUGGUCUACACUACAAGCAUUACAGAAAAAUUCCGAUAUUACAGACAUUAAAAAAACACCACAGAAAAGCCUACAACGCACAAAUGCAAGUCAAAAGUAUAAAUCAAUAAGUAUAUUUUCAAAGAAUGUUAAAACGAAUAAUAACAGUCUACACUACGUGAAAUCAACUCAAAUUGAAUUCAAUAUUAUUUCAUAAUUGCAUUAUAGAUUUUUAAGAUUGUUUUUAAACCUUUCAUGAUCACCAAUCAAUGUAAUUUCAGAAUCCAACAUGUUCAUUCAUAGUGAUUUAUUGUUGUUGGAGGAAAACUAUAAAGUGAUGAAGAAUUUGUUGAAGAGAGACAGACACAGACUUCAGUUAAACACUAAAACAUGUCUCUAAAGGUUUUAGUAUCACUAUGAACAACAAUCUAUUUAUAAAACAUACUAUUUAAACAUGGAAACAUAUUUUAGAGUUUUAUAUCCUUUCCAGGCAUUGUUCAGAAACUGUUUAUAUUGUACAAAACAAGAACCACUUCUCCAAACUGCUUUGGCUCACUGAAAUCUUCUGUCAUUAAAGGUAAAUUCAGAGCUCAAGUACCACUUUGAAAAAAAGGACUUCAUUUUUUUAAGAAGAAAGAGUGGAGGUCAUUGAGGAGAUCAUACUAAAUAAAGGUCUUUUUUUCCUGCUGUUAUGAAAUAUGAGUAAUGGAAAAAUCUUACAGAUGCCACCAUGUACCUGCAUGGUUUAGCCAUAUGCAUGUGGUGAAAUUAAUCAUGUUGUAAUCAUUUCCUUAAUACUCUCCCUGAUGUUUCAGGUAAUUGUUAUUUUCUUGGAAUUUCAUUCAGAUUUUACAUUUUGCCCCAUGAAACUCUCUGCUCCAUCUACGUCUUGGAAAGGCCGUAGGAAAACCCCAGAGCUACCUGUCUGGUGGCCUUUGCUUUUUUAAAUGGUAAAAAAUUAUUGUGGACCUCAAAUCAAUAACUAAGUAAAAUUGACUUUUGCUGUUUAGCUAAAGCAGUUCUAGAAGGCACACAUCACAAUUUUUACAACUUUUCCUUUUAACUUCUACUUUGGGAUUAUUGCUUACAACAGUCAUUUUCACUACCACAAACAGUAAAAUAAAAUUGAAAGAAAGAAAACAGGCAGUGGUCCAUAAAACAAUGGUCACCCAAGAAGAAGGUAGUGAUAGCAAAGUCUUGAUUAUAGUUCAUACGGAUCAAAUCUAUGAGGCAUUUUCUUCCUGUGAGGAAGUAAGAGAAAUGUUUUAAAGGACAGAAGCUUGGAAGCCCACUGAUCUGGACCCAAAGAUUUAAAAGGGCUGUUUAACCUCCCUUUAAUUCAUCAGAGUGAGGGGCAAAACAGCAGCAUUCAGACAGAUGUUGUAAUUUAUGCUCUGGUUCUGACAUGUGUCGAUCUGACGUGAAGAACCAACCCGUUUUUCAACUGUCACCAAAAUACUCUAUUAGGAGGAGCCAACACACACUCCAUAAUGGAACUGUGGCUAUGGGUUACAUUAGCACGGGAACCAUAUAUGUUGGUAUCAGCUAUGAACUUAGCGCUAAUUUCAGCCACUAUGAAUUCCAUCAGUCUUGGCGCAAAUGAAUACAUACAGCUAACUGUCCUACACAUAAUCAGUUGUGUUUUAUUUCUAAGGGUAAAACUGUAGUAAAAUGAUGUAGAUGCCAAGUCCAGGUCCAGGAAAGGUCCUCCUAUGAAACAUUGCUAUCCCUUCUGAAAGCAAUACGUUUUGCCAUGAUUUGUUUGGUAAAAUAUUCUGAAAGUCAUCCUUUACUGCUAUAUGCGCAAUUUCACAGGAAGAGCUCAGAAAUAAACACUGUUUAAAUGCUAAUAUUCUUUGAAGCCAGUUUUGAGUUUAGCACUACAUGCCAUAUUUUGUUAUCACAGAAAUUUCAAUGGCUCCAUACCCCUGUAACAUUGAAUCACCUUCAGCGCGAUAGGUCAGACCUCUCACUGUAAGUGUGUGGGACUGGUAUCACCUGAUGUACGACACAUGGUGGAUGUGAUUGGAUCUGAGGAGAGCAUAGUUCGAGUCACUUAAUCAAAAUAGGUAUGAAUCAAAAGAAGAUAAGCUAAUGGAGAGUUUGGCUCAAUGAGCAUAAGACCUUUUUUUUUGUAAAUGGUGACAUUCUAAAUGAAAACUUUACAUACUACUGGUUGCUAUAUGGACGACCGCCAUCUGCUGGGUUAUGAUUUAUAGGAUUUUUGCUUGAUGAGUUCAAGGAGAAUUAUUAUAUUUUUACUAAUUUUCUACUGUUCUUUCCCAGCUUACUAUAGUUUACAUGCUUCUUUCCUGCUCUAUGUGCUUUUCAGCAUUUUCAGCAGGAGUUCAGCAGAUCUGAUCUUGAUGUAUUUUCCCUCUUUGGGAUCAAUAAACAUUUUCCUAAUGAAUUAUUUCAAAAUGUAAUUUCUGGAAUGAUGUAACUGGGUGUGGUUGGGAUCUCCUCUAUUUAGUUUAUCAAGCUUGUUUGAGGCUAUAGUGACAAAGAAAGGAGAAAUAACUUCAUUACCCGGAUUUAGCCGUACUUUUAUUCAAAGCCACUAAGAAAUAAGAAGUUUCUUAGGAAGCUGUGAUAAAUUUGGUUCGAAUAGGACAAAAAAUUUAGUAUCUUUAUGUUAUAAACCGGGGAUGGAAUUCAGCGAGUAAAUAAUUUAUUUCAAGAUGUUAAUUUUCACUAUUACAUUUAUGUGCUGGUACUGAAAAAAUAGCUUUUGUAUAAUUUAUCCCUGAGUUAUAAACAUGUCUGCACAUUUGCAUUUAUUUUGUUCUCCUCCGCAUAUGAACUUCUAAAGUUGAUCUGAAGUUUAAAGAUGACCUCAACAACUUUUAAUUAUAAUCCCAAUAACUUAAAAUUGUGCCUGCUUUUAUCAUUUGCAAGUUACAAUAUGAUUAUAUCAUGGUUACAGAUAAGAAUUUAAUGCAAAUUUUAUAAAAUAUAAGCCUAAUUGACCUUUGGAUAAACUAAUAACCAGGAUGGAUGUAGCUAUACAUUUAGAGCUUAAUUGCUUAAUAAAUGGAUAGGCAUAUAACUGAAUUAAAAGAGCAAUGAGUGUUGAAGCUAAUGUCUAUUAACACUGCAAUAUUUUAUCACUGUAGACACCAUGAAAUGAUCAGUGACAAGUACAACUGCUAUUUUUCUUAUUCCACAAUUUUUCUCUUUUAUUUCUGGGAAACUUAUUGCAACUGCAACAUUUGCAAAACUCUGGAAGUGGAUGUUGAUGAGCAGCUGAGUUUGAUUUUUCGGUUUUGGACAACCACAAUCCAGAAAAAUCAGGAUAUUUUUUUUUUCUAAACAGAUGCAGCUGAAGAACAUUUCAAUUUAUUUUUAUCUUAAAUCAUUUUUAGGGGCAGAAAUAGCAUAAGUGGAUGGAGAACAGGUUAUUGAAUGCAGGCAGGGGAACAGGCAAUGCAGCAAACAUAAUCACUUAUGGGAUAAUGGAGGAAUCCAGCAAAGAACAAUAAAAGAUCCAGGAGUUUAAAAACAGGGGAGAGUAAGUGUAGGGAAGAGGCGGGUGGUUGAUUACUAACAGGUUUUAGCUGGAAAAGGAGGUAAACAGGUAGACUGUGGGGAAAGGGCUGAUUACCUCUUUGAACUGAACUGAGGCACAAAGAAACUACAAACCAAGGGGAAAAUAACAUCACUGAUCUAAAAAUCUGAAUCCAGUGAAGAACAAAACACAAGGAAAAAUACUGAAACUGAUUUUCAAAGGCAUUAAUCUAUAUGACAAAACAUUUCAAUAAAUCACAAAUACAGGAAUAGAACAGAAUUUGCAAAACCUAAUGAAUAUAACAAAAAGGAAAAAACAAAAAAAGAGAUGCUCCAAACAAAAACAAAAAUGAAACCAAACAGAAAGAUCAUAACAACCUUCUAGAAUACAGCAAAGAUAAGGCGUGUAAAACCAAAGUCAGUGCUUUUGUGUGUAAAUUAUAAACCCAGAGCUACAAUGAAUAAUAGGUCUGGCUGUAUUUAGAUAAAGUUAUAUUCUUGUGACACAAGUUGUAUAUGUGUUUUGCCCUUUUCAGCCAACAUUAGUUACUUUAAUCAACAUCUCAGAAAUGAACUGUUUCCAAGGCCAAUGUCAAUCAAUGCAGUUAAGCUAAAACUUCCAUUUAAUCUCAGAAUAACUGCUUUAGUAAUUUUUUUUUUGUUGGUGGUGAUAACAUAAACUCACAUAAUCUUCUAUGAUAACCUUUAAAUAUAUGUGCAAUGAACUGAUGCUGUCAUCUUUCCCAACAUGGUGUCCAUUAGUACUUUAUUUUUGAAACAUUGUUAGUCCCCCCAAAUGGUUGUAGAGGUAAGCAUAUCAACGAAGAACAAAAGUUAGAAUAAAAAUAUGUGCUUUUUAUAGGAGCGUCCAGAGUUUUAGAAAACUAAAAACAAUAAAAGCUGUAAGGGACCAGACUUAAACAAGGGCAAAAUGUGUUCAAAAAUUUGAAAAGUUUCCAUGAAAAAAUAAGUCAAAGGACAAAUAAUACAAUUGAGCCCAAUAUAGCUGAGGUCAACUGAACACAAACAAAACAGACUUGCAAACAAAGAACAAAAGGUUGCUUAAAUGGGGGUGUAACCUAAAUCUUUACCACAUGAGGGAGGCACAACACAACAAAGGAACAAAAAAUACAAAAUUAGCUAAAGUAAUAUAUGAAACAAAAAAAGGAAAACCAACCUUAGCUUAGCACAAAUAAUAAGUGACUUUUAUAGUGAUAAAAUAAAUAACUAAAGUCAGCUUUAAACCAAAUCCC